CUCCGCCAUGGCGGUCCGGUCCUGGCACUGCUCGGUCGAGCCGGCCGAGUUCAGCACGGGCGCACCGCGCUGUUCGAGGCGGCGGGCGAAGGCCA
rnacentral:tRNA from 1 species